rnacentral:rRNA from 1 species
GACGAACGCUGGCGGCGUGCUUAACACAUGCAAGUCGAACGGAAAGGCCCUGCUUUUGUGGGGUGCUCGAGUGGCGAACGGGUGAGUAACACGUGAGUAACCUGCCCUUGACUUUGGGAUAACUUCAGGAAACUGGGGCUAAUACCGGAUAGGAGCUCCUGCUGCAUGGUGGGGGUUGGAAAGUUUCGGCGGUUGGGGAUGGACUCGCGGCUUAUCAGCUUGUUGGUGGGGUAGUGGCUUACCAAGGCUUUGACGGGUAGCCGGCCUGAGAGGGUGACCGGCCACAUUGGGACUGAGAUACGGCCCAGACUCCUACGGGAGGCAGCAGUGGGGAAUAUUGCACAAUGGGCGGAAGCCUGAUGCAGCAACGCCGCGUGCGGGAUGACGGCCUUCGGGUUGUAAACCGCUUUCGCCUGUGACGAAGCGUGAGUGACGGUAAUGGGUAAAGAAGCACCGGCUAACUACGUGCCAGCAGCCGCGGUGAUACGUAGGGUGCGAGCGUUGUCCGGAUUUAUUGGGCGUAAAGGGCUCGUAGGUGGUUGAUCGCGUCGGAAGUGUAAUCUUGGGGCUUAACCCUGAGCGUGCUUUCGAUACGGGUUGACUUGAGGAAGGUAGGGGAGAAUGGAAUUCCUGGUGGAGCGGUGGAAUGCGCAGAUAUCAGGGGGAACACCAGUGGCGAAGGCGGUUCUCUGGGCCUUUCCUGACGCUGAGGAGCGGAAGCGUGGGGAGCGAACAGGCUUAGAUACCCUGGUAGUCCACGCUGUAAACGGUGGGUACUAGGUGUGGGGUCCAUUCCACGGGUUCCGUGCCGUAGCUAACGCUUUAAGUACCCCGCCUGGGGAGUACGGCCGCAAGGCUAAAACUCAAAGGAAUUGACGGGGCCCCGCACAAGCGGCGGAGCAUGCGGAUUAAUUCGAUGCAACGCGUAGAACCUUACCUGGGUUUGACAUGGAUCGGGAGUGCUCAGAGAUGGGUGUGCCUCUUUUGGGGUCGGUUCACAGGUGGUGCAUGGCUGUCGUCAGCUCGUGUCGUGAGAUGUUGGGUUAAGUCCCGCAACGAGCGCAACCCUUGUUCACUGUUGCCAGCACGUUAUGGUGGGGACUCAGUGGAGACCGCCGGGGUCAACUCGGAGGAAGGUGGGGAUGACGUCAAGUCAUCAUGCCCCUUAUGUCCAGGGCUUCACGCAUGCUACAAUGGCUGGUACAGAGAGUGGCGAGCCUGUGAGGGUGAGCGAAUCUCGGAAAGCCGGUCUCAGUUCGGAUUGGGGUCUGCAACUCGACCUCAUGAAGUCGGAGUCGCUAGUAAUCGCAGAUCAGCAACGCUGCGGUGAAUACGUUCCCGGGGCU